rnacentral:rRNA from 1 species
AUUGAACGCUGGCGGCAGGCCUAACACAUGCAAGUCGAGCGGAUGAAGGGAGCUUGCUCCUGGAUUCAGCGGCGGACGGGUGAGUAAUGCCUAGGAAUCUGCCUGGUAGUGGGGGAUAACGUCCGGAAACGGGCGCUAAUACCGCAUACGUCCUGAGGGAGAAAGUGGGGGAUCUUCGGACCUCACGCUAUCAGAUGAGCCUAGGUCGGAUUAGCUAGUUGGUGGGGUAAAGGCCUACCAAGGCGACGAUCCGUAACUGGUCUGAGAGGAUGAUCAGUCAUACUGGAACUGAGACACGGUCCAGACUCCUACGGGAGGCAGCAGUGGGGAAUAUUGGACAAUGGGCGAAAGCCUGAUCCAGCCAUGCCGCGUGUGUGAAAAAGGUCUUCGGAUUGUAAAGCACUUUAAGUUGGGAGGAAGGGCAGUAAGUUAAUACCUUGCUGUUUUGACGUUACCAACAGAAUAAGCACCGGCUAACUUCGUG